rnacentral:lncRNA from 1 species
UUUCAAUGGAUGAUGGAUAGCCUCUAAGAAGGAUAACCUCUAGACAUGAGGGAUCGACUAAGUUCGAUAUGGUCUUGGUUGAGAACGAAGGAACCCAAGAAAUCGACACAUGACUAAGAUCGAUAUAGAUGUACGGUGAGUUUUCUUCAUUUUGUUAAUUCACAUCCCUUUCAGAUUGAGUUUUCUAUUUCGAAAAUUAUUAAUUUUUGUGCACAUAAUUCGCUAAGGUACUUCACGCUACUUUUUGAUAUUUUAGAGUUAUCUGACAUGGUGCAUAUAAACUGUUUGGUGAAAUGCUCCAAUGAAAAGAUAUACUAUUGAGUAGUUUGUAGCUCUUCAUCUUUUGAUUCAUUAUAGCUCUUUACUCUUGGAGCCUAAGCUUUAUCUACUUUAGCAGGUGAUGGAGGGGAUUUGUUUUUAGUGUUAUAUGGGGACCUAUAGUACAGGUAAGAUAUCAGUUAAUUAAUUUGAG